AGAAUCAGAAAGAACAAAAAGAUUUAGCAGCUCAAGGGGAAAAGCACUCUAGAUUUACAUUGGCCUAAAGAAAAAAGAGCUCGGCCAAACAACUCUGCCUUUUGAGUAAGAGCCCUUUUGAGAGGUGUUUUUAUUCAAGUCUCCCACGGAACGCAAUCAGUUACUCUGUCUUGUCUAAACUUUAGCCGAAUAUAUAAUUUCGUUUAGCUGCAGUAAUUGGCUCCCGUUGCCUUCAUACGGAAAGCCAGGAAUGCUGCCAAAGAUCCCUCCCGUCUGGAGCCUGCAGCGGCAGCAGCCCAGUUCUGUUCUGCAUCAGCCCCUCAGCUCUCAGCAAGCCAAUGUGGGAGCAGGGAAUCUGCCUGGGGCUGCAGGAAACAGGCAGGAAGGUCCCCCUCCAGCACCCUGUCCCAGAUUGAUAGUAUGCUGCCCAGAAAAGACCUCGCUAGCGCAAGGCAACAGAGCAUAGCAGAGUGCUGCUCAUAAAGCAUGCGAGAGGCACGCCUCACCCACAAGGAAACAAAGCUGCCCAUAGAGAAAAAUGUUCUCAGAGCAUGUGUAAUACUUGAAAAGAGAUCUACCUGCUGCACUUAGGUGGCUGUCCAUGUGAGAUUGCUUUGCUGUGCUACUGGAGCAUGGACCUGGAAUGUUCAUCCCUGAUUUACUCUGGAACACGGCUGCUAUUUUGCUAGGAGUGAACACCAAGAGAUCAAGGGACACCUACACACUCACACUGCUGCAGGAAACUGCCCUGGAAGGACAAAGACAGCUUUGCCAUGAAACAGUGGUCAACAUUUCCAGGACUAGCAACACUUAUUAUCUUUUAAAUGAAGAAAAACAGCUCACUGACAUCAACUGUGCUGCACUGACUGUGACUCAGAGCAUGGUUUUGCCUUCUCUGUGUACAAACACAAACAUUAUGGGCUUUCAAAACAUGGAAAUACAAUUAUUUCAGGAAAAUACGUUGUCCCAUUCUCUCUUUCCAUGCUUGCUGUUUGUUUCUUUAGGAUUUGGUUGUUGCUAGCCUUGAAUAUUUAUGACAAAUAGACUGCAAUUGAUUAAACUGGGUAAAGAACCUGGUACGUUAUUGAACAGACUGUCAAGAUAUCUCUGAUAACAGGGCUGGGCUUCAUCCUGAAGAACAAUCUCCUCUCCUUUGUCUUCCUGUGUCUGCACUGACUCAAGGCAAGUUCAGCUACCCAAGGAUGUCAACACAAUAUAGGCAAAGCUUCUACACGUAGUAAAGAACCAUGACUUUCUGCUGUAGUUUGUGUCUCUGCUGUGCACUGAUACAUAUUUGCCAUCCUGAACCAAAUCUUGGUCCCAGAGAAGUUAGCGCGGGUUUUGACAUGGACUUCAAGAGGUUCAGGGUUUCAUUCUGUAAUUCUUAGCACCAUUAUGUUCCACAUAACAGUAAGUACUGUAUACUCUUAUGGGGAGAUCUAACAAGGUAUUUCUAAGCAAGCAGGUUCCAGGAUCUGGAAAGCAAUCAAUACAUUACAGAACAAAUGUACUGCUUGCCUUUGCCACAGCACUGGACGCUUUGAUUCAUCAUCAAAUAUACAUUGUCUGGUGUUUUCCCAAUGCUUCUCAUUUAUGGCUAUUAAUAAGGAGAAAACUUUACUAUCCACGUGUUGGAAGAUCUUAAAAACAAACGCAGAAAAUAACAAUGACAGCACAAAAGAGUCUCAUCACUGACUAUACACUUUGUAAUCUGGGAAGUCUAGCAUUCUGGCACGGAGUGGAGAUGGUGUGGAUUGCUGUUAAUGAUCAAUCAUUGUUCUAUUUCCUGUAGAAGUCGGUUGUAAAACUAUGAAGGAAAUGUAGCUGGAGUAGUAAUUAAUAUCAUUAUCUUCUGAGAUUGUCAAAGUACUAAGCAAUUCCACGCUGUUCCUGUUGUAACUGCAUUGCAACUUCUGUUUUGUAAGCAGUGCUAUCCUUUGCUAACAGCACUGCUGAAUAGCUGAGAAAUGGCCCUUUGUGCACCUUAUAGGCAGACAAGAUGGCUGAUUAAAAUCUGAUCUGGAUCUCACAUAUUCUUUUAGGUGAUGCUUUUAUGAACAAAACAUCUUGUACACAAAUGCAUAAACAGGCUAUGAAAAUUA
rnacentral:lncRNA from 1 species